rnacentral:rRNA from 1 species
AACGAACGCUGGCGGCGUGCCUAACACAUGCAAGUCGAGCGAGAAAAGGGGAGCGAUCCCCUGAGUACAGCGGCGCACGGGUGAGUAACACGUAGGUGACCUCCCCUCGAGCCCGGAAUAACCUACCGAAAGGUGGGCUAAUACCGGAUAUGACCACGGAAGUUUCGGCUUCUGCGGUGAAAGAUGGCCUCUACCUGUAAGCUAUCACUCAAGGAUGGGCCUGCGUGCCAUUAGCUAGUUGGUGAGGUAACGGCUCGCAAAGGCUAUGAUGGCUAGCUGGUCUGAGA